AGCAGAGGUCGCCGAUGGUGGCCGUUAUCUGGUGUUCAACUUUUGGCUCUUCAAAGAAUUAAAUGAACGGAGGUGUUAACGGUGGAGUAUUGAUGAUAGAAGGUACUGUUACAAACCUCGAGAAGUUAGCUUCCCAUUAAUGGUGGUGCUAGGCAGUUUUAUUCGACGGUGGUCGCCGAAAUUUGGUGUGAAAUUCAGCAUGCUCACCGGAAAGGGAAAUAAAAUCUGCUACGGCAUCUGUUUUCGGAGCCAAAAUCGAAGGGUUUGGAGUGUGAAUUUGGGAAUCAUUCCAUCUCGAAACUCGUAGAGGACCUCGAAAACUGUGAGUGUGUCAUUCGUGGUUGUGUACCUAAGAAAAUUUUGGUCUAUGAUGUUGCUUUUGGUGCUAACUCGAGCUAUGUUGGCGAAAUUAUGAGAAAUAGUAAACCUUCUGCCGCACCUGUUUUUGGAGUCGAAAUCGAAGGGUUUGGAGUGAGAUUUUCGAAUCAGUCUCUUCACAAAACUCGUCGAGGACCGUGAUAAUUAUAUGUAAGUGUUAAAUUGCUUCUAAUUCGAGCAAGUUUUAUAGCCUUUUAGAGAUGAGAAUUUGACGGCAGUGAGUCUGCCAAAAAAAGGGCAGUUUUGAUGAAUCAUCUCCGUUGGGUUUUAUUACCGUCUUAGGAUAAUAAUUUGGGAUAUAUUUCUUUCGUAAACUUUUAGAUGAAGUUGUCAGCUUUGAUUUGGUAAAUUGUUUGGCCAAUUUGGAUAACUUUACAAAUAGUUAUGAAUUUUACAAUAAACUA